GCCGCGCGGUUGUUUCCGCUGC
rnacentral:misc_RNA from 1 species